GGAAGUGUGGCUCAGUGAUAAAGAAUCUGUUUGGUACGCAGAAGGUCCCAGGUUCAAUUCUCCGCAUCUCCA
rnacentral:tRNA from 1 species